rnacentral:rRNA from 1 species
GUAGGUGGCAAGCGUUGUCCGGAAUUAUUGGGCGUAAAGCGCGCGCAGGCGGUUCUUUAAGUCUGAUGUGAAAGCCCACGGCUCAACCGUGGAGGGUCAUUGGAAACUGGAGAACUUGAGUACAGAAGAGGAAAGCGGAAUUCCACGUGUAGCGGUGAAAUGCGUAGAGAUGUGGAGGAACACCAGUGGCGAAGGCGGCUUUCUGGUCUGUAACUGACGCUGAGGCGCGAAAGCGUGGGGAGCAAACAGGGAUUAGAUACCCUGGUAGUCCACGCCGUAAACGAUGAGUGCUAAGUGUUAGGGGGUUUCCCGCCCCUUAGUGCUGCAGCUAACGCAUUAAGCACUCCGCCCUGGGGAGUACCGGCCGCAAGGCUG